CCCUGGUGCUUUAUUUAAUUUCAUUGUAUUAAUAGCUGAAGUACAUUCUUCAAUUGUUACUUCUCCGUCACAAACUGAUUUGUCAACAUUAUUUGAAUUAUUUUCUAAUUCAGUUUCACAAAUAUAAUUUUCGACUAAAUCUUUUUUUUUGACAUUUAGAACUGUACAGUUUUUCAUAGUAUUGCUUAAUUUUUGUUAAUAAAUCGGCCUGGUCUGUUGUUAUAUUUCCAUUCUCGUCACUUAGUUUAUUUAUCGACUUUUUUACCUGUCUUUGUUUUUCUAAACCUAAAAAAUAUGCAUUAUUUUUUUCCCCAUAUUCAACCCAUUUCUCCCUUGACCUAACCUGUGCGCCUCUAGCUUUCUGUUCGUAUAUCUUAUCUAUUUUUAGUUCUAAAUCUUUUAUUUCUUCGUCUAAAUAUGCAUCUUCCCGUGGUAAUGCAUCUCUUAACUUAUUUUUCUCUUCCAGGUUUUUUUUCUAGUUCCCGACUUAAUUCUCUGUUUGCCUUUGCUUUAUUCUUACAAUAUGCUAUGCUUACCUCCCUUAUUUCUACUUUUAAAACGUCCCACAAUAAUUGACAAUCGAUAUUAUUAUUUCCAUUUGUAUAUUUAUGAAUAAGAUUACUGAUUAUCUCUUUGUAUUUUUCCUCUUUUAAAAUAGAGUUGUUAAUCUUCCAAUAUCCCUUACCUCUUUCUGACACACCAGUCCUAAUAC
rnacentral:lncRNA from 1 species